CCUGCCCCUGGACUCUGGGAUAAGCGCUGGAAACGGCGUCUAAUACUGGAUAUGUGACGUGACCGCAUGGUCUGCGUUUGGAAAGAUUUUUCGGUUGGGGAUGGGCUCGCGGCCUAUCAGCUUGUUGGUGAGGUAAUGGCUCACCAAGGCGUCGACGGGUAGCCGGCCUGAGAGGGUGACCGGCCACACUGGGACUGAGACACGGCCCAGACUCCUACGGGAGGCAGCAGUGGGGAAUAUUGCACAAUGGGCGAAAGCCUGAUGCAGCAACGCCGCGUGAGGGAUGACGGCCUUCGGGUUGUAAACCUCUUUUAGCAGGGAAGAAGCGAAAGUGACGGUACCUGCAGAAAAAGCGCCGGCUAACUACGUGCCAGCAGCCGCGGUAAUACGUAGGGCGCAAGCGUUAUCCGGAAUUAUUGGGCGUAAAGAGCUCGUAGGCGGUUUGUCGCGUCUGCUGUGAAAUCCCGAGGCUCAACCUCGGGCCUGCAGUGGGUACGGGCAGACUAGAGUGCGGUAGGGGAGAUUGGAAUUCCUGGUGUAGCGGUGGAAUGCGCAGAUAUCAGGAGGAACACCGAUGGCGAAGGCAGAUCUCUGGGCCGUAACUGACGCUGAGGAGCGAAAGGGUGGGGAGCAAACAGGCUUAGAUACCCUGGUAGUCCACCCCGUAAACGUUGGGAACUAGUUGUGGGGUCCAUUCCACGGAUUCCGUGACGCAGCUAACGCAUUAAGUUCCCCGCCUGGGGAGUACGGCCGCAAGGCUAAAACUCAAAGGAAUUGACGGGGACCCGCACAAGCGGCGG
rnacentral:rRNA from 1 species